AGGAAAUGUAAAAUUGACAACUCUGAGUAUACCAAAAAACAUUGAAUUGUACAUUUUAAAUAGAUGUAUUUUAUGUUAUGUGGAUUAUAUCUCAAGUUGUUGGUGUGUGUGUGUGUGUGUGUGUGUGUGUGGAGUGGUGGGGGUCAAACCCAGAGCCUCAUGCAUGCCAGGCAAGUACUCCUC
rnacentral:sRNA from 1 species